rnacentral:rRNA from 1 species
AGUAAUCGCGGAUCAGCAUGCCGCGGUGAAUACGUUCCCGGGCUUUGUACACACCGCCCGUCAAACCAUGAAAGUUGGGAACACCCGAAGCCUGUGUUCUAACCGCAAGGAGGAAGCAGUCGAAGGUGGGUUCAAUGAUUGGGGUUAAGUCGUAACAAGGUAUC